CAGCAGCCACGGUAAUACGAAGGGGGCUAGCGUUGUUCGGAAUUACUGGGCGUAAAGCGCACGUAGGCGGAUAUUUAAGUCAGGGGUGAAAUCCCAGAGCUCAACUCUGGAACUGCCUUUGAUACUGGGUAUCUUGAGUAUGGAAGAGGUGAGUGGAAUUCCGAGUGUAGAGGUGAAAUUCGUAGAUAUUCGGAGGAACACCAGUGGCGAAGGCGGCUCACUGGUCCAUUACUGACGCUGAGGUGCGAAAGCGUGGGGAGCAAACAGGAUUAGAUACCCCGGUAGUCCCUGUCUCUUAUAU
rnacentral:rRNA from 1 species